UCUUCCGUAGUAUAGUGGUCAGUAUGUGAGCUUGUCAUUUCUUUCUAAGAAAGAAUAGUCAACGCUCGAGACCCGGGUUCAAUUCCCGGCGGGAGAG